rnacentral:rRNA from 1 species
CGCGUAGGCGGCUUGUACAGUCAGACGUGAAAUUCCUGGGCUCAACCUGGGGGCUGCGUUUGAUACGUAUGGGCUUGAGUUCGGAAGAGGGUCGUGGAAUUCCCAGUGUAGAGGUGAAAUUCGUAGAUAUUGGGAAGAACACCGGUGGCGAAGGCGGCGACCUGGUCCGAUACUGACGCUGAGGCGCGAAAGCGUGGGGAGCAAACA